GCAGACUGAACUGGUAAACAUACACUGCUGCUACACCAGGUUGUUUUGUAUGUACUGGGACAAGUAUUGGCCACCAGCUGAUGCAGAAUAGCAGAGCACAGAGACUGGCUGUCAACAUCAGGAAAGAUACUCAAUGAAAUCUCACAGUGAUCCACCUGUAACAUGAUGAAUGUCCUCACCGUUGUUAAAAACAAGUUUAAAAUUUCCUUGGAACAUUUCAAGCUCUGAGUGCUCAAAAGGUGACAAGGGAAGGGAAAGAAGGACGGCAGAUUGCUUCCUGAACGCUUCAUGGAGAAGUCAGUGGAGCACUGAGCAUGCUCCAUCCAAGCUACAGUAAGACUGUGUACGCACUUGUUGGUCAUCGCAAACGGGGUAGAUCCAGGAACUCAGCCCAUGCAGGAGCAGUUCCAACUUCUGCUGGCAUACAGUAGUAAUGCAUGGGAAUUAGAUUGCACUUCUGAGCCGUAGAACAGCUGCCAACUUACCAAGUCACCCAUGCAAAAUAGAGUAAUGC
rnacentral:lncRNA from 1 species